GAGAUCUCUUGGCCUUUUACAAUAGGACCGGGAAGGAUGCACCUCUGGUGUACCAGUUAUCGUGCCCACGGUAAACGCUGGGUAGCCAAGUGCGGAGCGGAUAACUGCUGAAAGCAUCUAAGUAGUAAGCCCACCCCAAGAU
rnacentral:ncRNA from 1 species